UACGUAGGGUGCGAGCGUUGUCCGGAAUUAUUGGGCGUAAAGAGCUCGUAGGCGGUGUGUCGCGUCGGCCGUGAAAACCUGGGGCUUAACUCUGGGCGUGCGGUCGAUACGGGCAUCACUGGAGUUCGGCAGGGGAGACUGGAAUUCCUGGUGUAGCGGUGAAAUGCGCAGAUAUCAGGAGGAACACCGGUGGCGAAGGCGGGUCUCUGGGCCGAUACUGACGCUGAGGAGCGAAAGCAUGAGU
rnacentral:rRNA from 1 species